rnacentral:lncRNA from 1 species
GGCUCUAUGAGUAUCUUUUCAUAAUCCACCUUAUAUCGCCUAGGAGAUGUAGUAAAUAUGACAUAAAUUUUAUCAUCUCCAAAAGCACCUCAUAUAUAUAUAUAUUCUCCCCUUUAUUUUUUUUUAAAUAUCUCCAUUCAUCCUCAGAUGCAUUUAGCUUUUUAACAAUAGAGAUCCUUUAAUCAAACAUGUGGUAGCUUCACACA